UAAGCGGAGGAAAAGAAACUAACAAGGAUUCCCCUAGUAGCGGCGAGCGAAGCGGGAAGAGCUCAAAUUUAUAAUCUGGCACCUUCGGUGUCCGAGUUGUAAUCUCUAGAAGUGUUUUCCGCGUUGGACCGCACACAAGUCUGUUGGAAUACAGCGGCAUAGUGGUGAAACCCCCGUAUAUGGUGCGGACGCCCAGCGCUUUGUGAUACACUUUCAAUGAGUCGAGUUGUUUGGGAAUGCAGCUCAAAUUGGGUGGUAAAUUCCAUCUAAAGCUAAAUAUUGGCGAGAGACCGAUAGCGAACAAGUACCGUGAGGGAAAGAUGAAAAGCACUUUGGAAAGAGAGUUAACAGUACGUGAAAUUGUUGGAAGGGAAACGCUUGAAGUCAGACUUGCUUGCCGGAGCUUGCUUCGGUUUGCAGGCCAGCAUCAGUUUUUCGGGGUGGAUAAUGACGGUUUGAAGGUAGCAGUCUCGGCUGUGUUAUAGCUUUCCGUUGGAUACAUCCUGGGGGACUGAGGAACGCAGCGUGCUUUUUGCGAAAGACUCGUCUUUUUCACGCUUAGGAUGCUGGUGGAAUGGCUUUAAACGACCCGUCUUGAAACACG
rnacentral:rRNA from 1 species